rnacentral:lncRNA from 1 species
CACUGCUGCAGUUACUCAGCCUGGGUGACACGGUGACAAUGCUGCAGCCCUUCAGCUGGUUCACAGGGUGACAUUCCUGCAGCCCCUCAGCUGGGUGACACAGUGACACUGCUGCAGCCCUUCAGCUGGGUGACACGGUGACACUGCUGCAGCCUUUUGGCUUGGUGACAGUGACAUUGCUGCAGCCCUUCAGCUGGGUGACACGGUGACAUUGCUGCAGCCUUUUG